GAGGCGGUGACCCAGAUGCUGGAGAGGCCAUGAGGACGCACCAUGGGGGGGGCCCGGGGCGCGAGCCCACGAUGAGGGCAUCUGGCAGGGCCUCCUGAUGCCUGGAGCAGAGAGAAGGUGCUGGUGGCUGGCGUCACCUUGGGGAAGAGUCGCAGACUAGCCAGACAAAGAGCACUGAGCGAACGCUGGCUGCACACCCCCAAGUGCCACGCCACGCUGUUGCCCCACGAGCUGGCCCGAGCUCCCAUCGGGGAGGGC